UGGAACCUAAAGAACUCCAGAGAUAGACCUG
rnacentral:piRNA from 1 species